rnacentral:lncRNA from 1 species
GACAGCAGAAUACUCAGUAGGUGUGUCAUCUGUUCAACGAUGAUGUACCCCUAUAUCUCACCUGUAUGCCAUACCAGUGUCACCACUCCUUGGUUAAGAGGACAACCAACUCAUAUGGCAUACAACGACCUCCACUCGAUAAACGUCAUCAUCCUGUAAUGAUGUAUCAUUUGAUCGCGAACAUAUUUUAGAACUAUACGAUA